rnacentral:rRNA from 1 species
UGUAACCAUGCCGAACACAGAAGUUAAGCUUCUUAGCGCCGAUUGUAGUGAGGGGUUGCCCCUUGUGAGAGUAGGACGUCGCCACGCA